UUUGUAUUUUUCCUUUGUUAAACUUUUCUUUCUUUUGUAGGUUCUGUUUUGGAUUUGCUUUACCAUCAGUGGCCACUGGGUUCCCUGCACUGUGUGGAUGGCGGUGGAGAAAAGGUGGUUGGGAUUGUGUGGUGAUUUGGUCACUGUUGAUUUUUGUGUUUUUUAGGUUGCAGUGUGAUUGCUGUGAGCUGAGUGUGGUGAAAACACUGCUGCUUGGGUACCUCAUCUGUCCUCACUUUCUGGGUAACCGGUGGCCAUUAGUGGUUUGUUUUUUUCUUUUCUUUUAUUUAGUUUAUUUACUUUUUUUCCUCCUUAUUUGCAAUAAAGAUGGAGACAAUUUGUAUAUUACAACUUGUGGAAUAAAAUAUAAUUGUCCUCCUAA